rnacentral:rRNA from 1 species
UACAGAGGGUGCGAGCGUUGUCCGGAAUCACUGGGCGUAAAGGGCGCGUAGGUGGCCCGACCAGUCACUGGUGAAAGCUCGACGCUCAACGUCGAGUCGGCCAGUGAUACUGUUGGGCUGGAGCACUGUAGAGGCAGAUGGAAUUCCGGGUGUAGCGGUGGAAUGCGUAGAGAUCCGGAAGAACACCGGUGGCGGAGGCGGUCUGCUGGGCAGUUGCUGACGCUGAGGCGCGACAGCGUGGGGAGCAAACAGG